rnacentral:rRNA from 1 species
GUGCCUAACACAUGCAAGUCGCACGAGAAAGUGGAGCAAUCCAUGAGUAAAGUGGCGAACGGGUGAGUACACGUGACUACCUGCCCUCGAGUGGGGAAUAACCUCGGGAAACCGGGGCUAAUACCGCAUAACAUCGAGAGAUCAAAGCAGCAAUGCGCUUGAGGAGGGGGUCGCGUCUGAUUAGCUAGUUGGUAGGGUAACGGCCUACCAAGGCGAUGAUCAGUAGCCGGCCUGAGAGGGCGCACGGCCACACUGGAACUGAAACACGGUCCAUG